AAUAUCUCGUCAAUCUCGAACUACCUUCUACCCUCAUCGAACUCACCACUAUCUCGUAAAUCUCCUUCUUUACCUUCUUCCCCCAACAUGUUCACCUAAACAACCCUCCAUUCUUCUCUCCGUCGAACUCAGAAACCUUCUUUCUCUCAAUCGUCCCCUCUUUGAACCCUAGAACUCAGAAUUUCCAAAAUUCAAUUGAAACCCUGUUACCGAUUCAAUCCGUAUCAAACCCUAAAACUCAAUUGAACCCAGAACUCGGAAAUUGAUUGAUUUGUUUCCCAUAAAUUGAAACCCUAAAACCAAUAUAUUUGUACAAAUGGUUUUAUGUGAAAGUUGGACUGUUCAUUGCUUCGCAAAAAGUGCUUCUGAGAGUCUGUCUUAGUUAACACUGUUACAAUAUCUUGGUGAGUUUUUAAUGCUUUUUAUUUUUUAUUUUUAUGGUAUGUACAAGCAUGUUUUUUUUAUUACAUGAUUUCACCAGUAUUUUCUCUAUGCUUCAUACUGAUGUUAAGUUUCAUUUGUAUUACACACUACUCGUUUUUUUUUUUGUUUUUUUAUUUAUUUAACCACUAUCAAUAUUUCCUGCAUGAUUAUUUUUGGGAUGAAUUAGUGUUGAUGACUAGCUUCCAAAUGUAGAAAAUAUUUAUAGUUGUUUGGUAAUUUGUCAUUUAGACUGUAUAUUCAACUGAGUUGUAAAAUGAUUUAUUAGUCUGUAUUUUCUUUUAG
rnacentral:lncRNA from 1 species